AAAUAACUUCUCUUUAUGCACAGUAAUUUCAGUCAGAUAUUCCAAAUGCUAAUGGGGAUAGUGGUGUGUAUAUUGCUGGUAUUUUUAAAAUCAUGUUGCUUUAAAAGUUACUUUUUCUUUUUUGCAAUUCACUACUAUGAACAAUGAAUUUGUCCAGUUGAAUUUCCUGGCAGUUCACUGAAGAACUUUGUCUUCUAUGUUGGUGCAUGGGAACAGUCUUAUAUGGGCUUGAAUAGAAAGGCUGUAUCACAGGGAGCUAGAAAAUCUCCAGUAAACUCCAGGAGCGAGGUGAAAUCUCACAAGCCCUCUUCACAAUCAGCUGCCCAGUGACAGUUUGCAGCAAGAGUUGGCUGCUAUGGCAGCACUCCUCUGAUCCUUCACUUGUUAAACAGGGAGGAAAAACCACAAAUCAAA